GAGUUUGAUCUUGGCUCAGGACGAACGCUGGCGGUAUGCCUAAUACAUGCAAGUCGAGCGCAGGAAGCAGACUGAAGCCUUCGGGUGGAUGUCUGUGGAAUGAGCGGCGGGUGGGUGAGUAUCACGUGGGUAACCUGCCUGUAAGCUUGGGAUAACUCCGGGAAACCGGUGCUAAUACCAGAUAAGAUUUCCGUUCGCAUGAACGGAAAAUGAAAGGCGGCUUUUGCUGUCACUUACAGAUGGACCCGCGUCGCAUUAGCUAGUUGGUGGGGUAAAGGCUCACCAAAGCAACGAUGCGUAGCCGACCUGAGAGGGUGAUCGGCCACACUGGGACUGAGACACGGCCCAGACUCCUACGGGAGGCAGCAGUAGGGAAUCUUCCGCAAUGGACGAAAGUCUGACGGAGCAAUACCGCGUGAGUGAUGAAGGUCUUCGGAUCGUAAAACUCUGUUGUUAAGGAAGAACAAGUGCUAAUCUAAUACAUUAGUGCCUGACGGUACCUAACCAGAAAGCCCGGCUAA
rnacentral:rRNA from 1 species